CCUACGGGAGGCAACAGUGAGGAAUAAUGGACAAUGGGUGCAAGCCUGAUCCAGCCAUCCCGCGUGUAGGAAGACGGCCCUAUGGGUUGUAAACUACUUUUAUCUGGGGAUAAACCUACUUACGUGUAAGUAGCUGAAGGUACCAGAUGAAUAAGCACCGGCUAACUCCGUGCCAGCAGCCGCGGUAA
rnacentral:rRNA from 1 species